GUCCAUGGGAUUCUCCAGGCAAGAAUACUGGAGUGGGUGGCCAUUCCCUUCUUCAGGGCAUCUUCCUGAUCCAUGCCUUGAACCUGAGCCUCGGUUGGAAUAACUCCUUCUAAAUUAGCAGAGAAGAGGAUCCUGGGCACUGUUUCUCACACUUCAGCUUUGCCUGAAUCCUGGAAUUACUUGGAGUAACCAGGAGUUUUUUACACUCUUGAUGCCUGAGUCCCACCUUCAUUUAAUUGGUUUGGGUUGCAGUCUGGACAACUGAAUUUUAAAGUUCUAAUGUGCAGCCAAGGCUGAGAACCGAUGCCAUAGACUCUUCAUAAAUCAUCUGUUCUUAAUUAACUUAGACCUAUUCUCAUCAUGUUGGUAGAGGUUUUUAAAGCUUAUAUAUUUCCUUCAAAGAUUAGCAGCUUCCUCAGGACCAGAAUUAUCUCUUUAUUUUCUAAUUGUUUUUUUAACCUCUGCCUUCUAGCUUUCCUUUCAUCUCAUUAAGGGCCCAGUUGAAUCUCAUUCUUCUGUUGACUGAUUGGCUAUUAAAGAUUGAAAACUCUGACAGCAGCUGGAAGCCUCCCUCUUUUAGAGUUUUCUUCCUCAGGUGAUAACCUGCUUGGUGAGAACCAGAUCCAUGAGGUGGGGCACACAGCCAUACUGCCAUGGCUCCUUCUACAGGCAAAUGUUGCAGAAAUGGAUUCCAUUCCCAGCCAAAGCAGUAUUUUAUCUCUUGUUUUUCCUUUCCUCCCAUUUGUUUCAACUUUUACUGAAUUAAAUAAUGAUGUGGGCUUCCUUGAUGGCUCAGUGGUAAAGAAUCACCCUGCCAAUUCAGGGGACACAGGUUUGAUUCCUGGUCCAGAAGAGCCCAUAUCCCACUGAGGAACCAAGCCCAUCCACUGUUGCUCACUAAGCCCAGCGUACUGAGCUGUGCUUAGAGCCCAGAAACUACAACUGCAGAGCCCACGUGCCACAACUACUGAAGCCCGCUUGCCCUAGAGCCUGUGCUCCACAAGAGAAGCCACUGCAAGGAAAAGCCCAUGCACCACAACUAGAGAACAGCCCUGCUCGUCGCAACUAGAGAAAAGACCUCCCAGCAAUGAAGACCCAGCACAGUCAAAAAUGUUUAGGGAAGACGAACAGAUAGCAGAAGAGCUCUGGAUCUGAAGGCAGGAUGUGGGUUUAAGCCCUGUCUACCGCCUAUGCUGGACAGUCACUUUGCUUCAUUGCCUGCUAAGUCCUUUCAGUCAUGUCUGACUCUGCAACGCUGUGGACUGUAGCCUGCCAGGAUCCUCUGUCCAUGGGGUUCUCCAGCCAAGAGUACUGGAGUGGGUUGCCAUGUCCUUCUCUAGGAAAUCUUCCCAACCCAGGGAUUGAACCCAUCUCUCUUUGUGAGGCCUCAAUUUCCUAAUGCCGGAGCUCAGUAAUAAUGAUAUAGGGUUGUUAGGAUAAUGGGAUUAGGGGUCUGAAAAGCACUUUAUAAAACAUAAAGCAUGUUUGAAAUAUUAAUUAUUAUGAUUGUGAAAGGAAUAAGUGAAAACCUUAAGCAAAUGAUUAAAUCAAUUUUAUAUAACAAUCAUUUAGCAUCCCUCUUUUAGAUUAGAAAUAAUUUCCCUUAAGCCUUUCCUUGUUUGCCAGAAUCAAUCAGGUCUCACAUCUCUGUCUAAAAUUUAACUUGGUUACCAUUAUUCUGUAUAGUCAAAGCUAUGAUUUUUCCAGUAGUCAUGUAUGGAUCUGAGAGUUGGACCAUAAAGAAAGCUGAGUGCUAAAAAACUGAUGCAUUCAAAUUGUGGUGCUGGAGAAGACUCUUGAGAGUUCCUUGGACUGCAAGAGGUUAAAAUCAGUCAAUCCUAAAGGAAAUCAAUCCUGAAUAUUCAUUUGAAGGACUGAUGCUGAAGCUCCAAUAUUUGGCCACCAGAUGUGGAAAGCCAACUCAUUGGAAAAGAUCCUGAUGCUGGGAAAGAUUGAGGGAUGGAGAAGGGAGCAAUAGAGGAUGAGAUAGUUGGAUGGCAUCAUUGAGUCAAUGGACCUGAGUUUGAGCAAACUCCGGAAUAUAGUGAAGGACAGGGAAGCCUGGCAUGCUGCAGUCCAUGGGAUCACAAACAGUCAGACACGACUGAGCAACUGAACAACAAACCGUUAUUCCAAACAUGGUAUUUGUCAUCUAAACACAAAGCAAGUAUGCCAUUGUGGAGACAUUCCUUUCCCCAGUGAACUCUUGAAGGAAGAUAUGAUGAAAAAGCAAAAGGAAGGAAGCUAUUAGGUAUUAGCUCAUUCAUUCAUUCUCCAGUUUAAUAGAAGAGAUGCAGACAGUAAUGCCUUAAAAGACUGGAUGCCGGAAAACAUGGAAUUCUUUUCCUCUAAUGACUAAUUUAAAAUACAAAAUGAGCUACUUCUUUCUUCAGGGAAACAUUAUAAACUCGGCAGAGAAAGUUAACAGUUGCCAGCAGCCCCAAGAACCUAAGAGAGCAGCACAGGACUUCUCCCUCAGCCUCUGGAGGAAGCCAACCCUGCUGACAGCUUGAUUUCAGAUUUCCUGGCCUUCAAUUGUCGAGAGAAUGAAUUUCUUAAUACAAUGUGGUCCUUUGUGAUGGUAACCCUAAGAAACUUAGUGAUGCACAGAAUUCAUGCAAAUGUCAAAACCCAGACUACAGUACCAAUGAGCAGCUGGAGGAAACAAAAAUGUGCAGUUUUUAACAAAAUCCUCGAUAAAGGGACCAAAGAAUGAAGGUGGGCUCACCAUCAGAAGGGAUUUUUGAGAUCAUCUAGUGUCAUCCUGGAGCUU
ensembl:lncRNA